rnacentral:tRNA from 1 species
GCGGGGGUAGCCAAGCCUGGCCAAAGAUGCUUGCAGUGGAUGCGCGGGACUUAAGAUCCCGUCCCUUAGGGGUUCGUGGGUUCAAAUCCCACCCCCCGCA